ensembl:lncRNA
GCAUUCCAUAAUUUUGUCAUUGGAUAGAUGGAUGAAUAAUGAAAACCAAUGUCUUAUCACAAUGCCUGGAGUAGAGUUAGCACUUAAUAAAUCAUAGCACUUGAUAAACACGGGUUGAAUGAAUGAAGAAAUUUGUUCAAAAGUAGCAAAAAGAACUUUAUCUGUAUUGAUCCAAGAUUAUCAUCUGCCUCUUGAUCUUUGAUCUCACCACCUGACCACUUCACCAGAUUCUCCAUCCAGAUGCUAAUUUCCCAGGGUUCAGAAAGCCAUUGCAUCACACUCAUGAAAGACUCUUUAAAUGUAGCCUUACCUCAGGACAAACCCUUGCAAAGGUGUCAGGAGCAGCUACCAGCUCACUUGCCAGACAGCAACCCCUGUGCAAAGCCGAACUUACCCGCAGAGGAUCAGCCCAGAUGUGGUCAUUAGGACAGAAGGCUAAGUCACAACCACAUGGCUGCUCUGAACUAAACAUUAGGGGCAUUUUUAUUCCCAUGUUUUCCUGAGACCCACCAACUGCAGACAAAGUUGGAUCAUCUCAGUAGGUGACCUGGGUUUAUGACCUCUAAUAUUUAAAAUGAACUGAAAAUAAAAAUAAAAGAGGUUCUUCUUGCAUUAAAAAGUAGCUUCUAAUAUAUCUUCCCUAUGUCUUACAGAUUCUGUAGUCAAAAUUAACUUUUUUCUUGGUUAAAUUUCUUUGGUUUGCUUACUUCAAAAUGGAGAUGUCAAAAAGGCCUUUAUGAGAAGGUUAAUGAGGUCUCACACAGAUUCCAAAGCAUGGCUGAACCCAGACCUCAGGGUGGCCAUGGACCAGGGCAGCCCAACAGCCUUAGCAGUGGAGAGCCAGGGCUCUCUCCGCAGGUGUUCUGCCAUUCAGGUGACUCCCUGUCAACUCCAAGUAUGGGGAGAGUUUGAUUUGCCCAGUUGAUUUUGAGAAUGCACUCAGGUCCAACCAAUUGGUCCAACCAAUUGACUAGGGGGCAAAUCAUAUAGAGGAAACAUGGUGCUAAGGGUUGGAGAGGUAUAGUUUCCCUAAGAGGAAGGAUAAUUGGGCAAAUAUCCUGCUAAGUGUCUAGUAGGACAGAUAGGGGAUAGUAGAAGGCCCAUUCACAAGAGCCACUUUAUGGGCUCAUAUGCUUACAGAAGAAAAAUGCCUUGCAGAGUUAAUCAUACAAUUCAAUGAUGAAAAAAUAUUGAUUUCUCCCAGCAGCUCAUUCAAAUUUAAGCAUAUGCAACCGCUAUGUAUGCUCUAUGUAGCACACAUCAUUACAAUUCCCAUUGGGCAAGAAGAAAGAGCAUUAGAAAACCAAAGAAUUAAUUUCCCUUCUUGUUAUAUGGUCUUGGGCUUAUGACUUAAUCUUUAUUUUUCUCAGGUUCCUCAUCUAUAAAAUGGAAAGAAUAGUAUUUCCCCACAAAGGGUAAGAAUGAAGUGAGCUACUGGGGCAGUGCAGGAGUUAGGAGAACAGACUUGAGUCUGAGAGGCAAGCCAAGGCUACCUGCUCUCUGCCAGCUCUGGGCCCCUGUCCAAACUUGCCUUCUCGAACUUGCAUGCACUGUAUCUCUAAGGCAAGGGCAGGUGUGCCCAUCAUUGGCUUUGUCAGCAUGAAAUGAUUUAUACAAAGCACUGUGCAUGGGGCUUAACAGUUUGAGAGAUUAAAACCAUGCCCAAGAACUCUUUUAAGUGAUGGUACUUUGAAAACUAUAAAAUAUCUACUGGUGCACACUAUGAUUUUUUUUAUAUUAUUACUAUCACAUUACUAUUAUCAUCAGCAUCACCACUGAUUCAAGAAAGCCCAGUAGGAGAUCCCACUGUAGCUCAGUGGUAAUGAGCUGGAGUGGUAUCCAUGAGGAAACAGAUUCAAUCCCUGGCCUCAUUCAGUGGGUUAAGGAUCCAGCAUUGCCAUGAGCUGUGAUGCAGAUGACAGACGUGGCUUGGAUACCACAUUUCUGUGGCUGUAGUGCUCCAAUUCGACCCCUAGCCUGGAAACUUCAAUGUGCCACAGGUGUGGCCUUUAAAAGCAAAAAAUAAAAAAGAAAGAAAGCCUAGUAGAGGGAGUUCCCUGGUGUCCUAGUGGUUAAGGAUCCUGUGUUGUCACUGCUGUGGUGUAGAUUUGAUCCCUGCCUGGGAACUUCUGCAUGCUGCAGGUAUUGUUAAAAAAAAAAAAAAAA